GAGUUUGAUCCUGGCUCAGGACGAACGCUGGCGGCGCGCCUAACACAUGCAAGUCGAACGGAGCUUAGAGAGCUUGCUUUUUAAGCUUAGUGGCGAACGGGUGAGUAACGCGUGAGUAACCUGCCCUAGAGUGGGGGACAACAGUUGGAAACGACUGCUAAUACCGCAUAAGCCCACGACCCGGCAUCGGGUAGAGGGAAAAGGAGCAAUCCGCUUUGAGAUGGCCUCGCGUCCGAUUAGCUAGUUGGUGAGGUAACGGCCCACCAAGGCAACGAUCGGUAGCCGGACUGAGAGGUUGAACGGCCACAUUGGGACUGAGACACGGCCCAGACUCCUACGGGAGGCAGCAGUGGGGAAUAUUGGGCAAUGGGCGAAAGCCUGACCCAGCAACGCCGCGUGAAGGAAGAAGGUCUUCGGAUUGUAAACUUCUUUUAUCAGGGACGGAGUAAGUGACGGUACCUGAUGAAUAAGCCACGGCUAACUACGUGCCAGCCGCCGCGGUAAUAC
rnacentral:rRNA from 1 species